rnacentral:rRNA from 1 species
GACGUAGGGGGCGAGCGUUGUCCGGAUUCAUUGGGCGUAAAGAGCGCGCAGGCGGCUUGGUAAGUCGGAUGUGAAAAUCCGGGGCUCAACCCCGGACCUGCAUCCGAAACUGCCCGGCUAGAGGUAGGCAGGGGAGAUCGGAAUUCCUGGUGUAGCGGUGAAAUGCGCAGAUAUCAGGAGGAACACCGGUGGCGAAGGCGGAUCUCUGGGCCUUACCUGACGCUCAGGCGCGAAAGCUAGGGGAGCGAACAGG